rnacentral:rRNA from 1 species
UACGUAGGGUGCGAGCGUUGUCCGGAAUCACUGGGCGUAAAGGGCGCGUAGGCGGUCUCUUAAGCGUGUGGUGAAAGCCCGGGGCUCAACUCCGGGUCGGCCGUGCGAACUGGGGGACUGGAGCUUGUCAGAGGCAGGCGGAAUUCCGGGUGUAGCGGUGGAAUGCGUAGAGAUCCGGAAGAACACCGGUGGCGAAGGCGGCCUGCUGGGACAGUGCUGACGCUGAGGCGCGACAGCGUGGGGAGCAAACAGG